GGCUCUUGCAGGGUCUAGCAAGCUAUUAACAUAGCAGGGGAUAAGAAAAUCUCAAUUAAACAGAACUUGCAAUAAAGAAAGCCUAAAAAGGGCUCUCUUUACAGGAAGUGUUUAUGGAAGGCUGUGCAAGUCACAUGCAGGGAGGUGUGACUAGGGUUCAUAAACAAAGGGAUUUAACUCCUAAAUGGCAGAGGAUUGAGCAG